rnacentral:rRNA from 1 species
AAGCUCGUAGUUGAAUUUCGGGAUCAGACUGUCGGUCGUGCCUCGGUACGCACUGGCAUUAUUGGUUCCUACCUUCUGAAGAACCGCGAUGUCACUAAUUUGGUGUCGCGGGGAAUCAGGACUGUUACUUUGAAAAAAUUAGAGUGUUUAAAGCAGGCUUACGCUUGAAUACAUUAGCAUGGAAUAAUGAGAUAGGACGUUUGAUUCUAUUUUGUUGGUUUCUAGGAUCGACGUAAUGAUUAAUAGGGAUAGUUGGG